GGCGACCGGCGCACGGGUGCGUAACGCGUAUGUAACCUACCUAUAACAGGGGCAUAACACUGAGAAGUUGGUACUAAUUCCCCAUAAUAUUCGGAGAGGCAUCUCUCCGGGUUGAAAACUCCGGUGGUUAUAGAUGGACAUGCGUUGUAUUAGCUAGUUGGUGAGGUAACGGCUCACCAAGGCAACGAUACAUAGGGGGACUGAGAGGUUAACCCCCCACACUGGUACUGAGACACGGACCAGACUCCUACGGGAGGCAGCAUG
rnacentral:rRNA from 1 species